rnacentral:rRNA from 1 species
GACGAACGCUGGCGGCGUGCCUAAUACAUGCAAGUUGAGCGCUGAAGGUUGGUACUUGUACCAACUGGAUGAGCAGCGAACGGGUGAGUAACGCGUGGGGAAUCUGCCUUUGAGCGGGGGACAACAUUUGGAAACGAAUGCUAAUACCGCAUAAAAACUUUAAACACAAGUUUUAAGUUUGAAAGAUGCAAUUGCAUCACUCAAAGAUGAUCCCGCGUUGUAUUAGCUAGUUGGUGAGGUAAAGGCUCACCAAGGCGAUGAUACAUAGCCGACCUGAGAGGGUGAUCGGCCACAUUGGGACUGAGACACGGCCCAAACUCCUACGGGAGGCAGCAGUAGGGAAUCUUCGGGAAGGGACGAAAGUCUGACCGAGCAACGCCGAGUGAGUGAAGAAGGUUGUCGGAUCGUAAAACUCUGUUGGUAGAGAAGAACGUUGGUGAGAGUGGAAAGCUCAUCAAGUGACGGUAACUACCCAGAAAGGGACGGCUAACUACGUG